UAACAAUUAUAUUAUGUGCUCACGGUGUG
rnacentral:sRNA from 1 species